GACUAGGAUUAACAUGCCACUUUUCUUUUCUUCCUGCUUCUCAGUCAAGUCCACCUGUCUUCUCCACCAUCGCCCAGUUCCUCGGCCAUUACCAUUUAUUAAAGAAAAGGGACAUUCAUAUCCUCGUUCUAAUCACACCCUUUUGUUAAUGUUUUUUUUCUUCCUAACUCUGCCUGAAUGGCUUUUUCAGUUCUUUAUAAAUGAUAAAAGUAUAAAACCCACAUUCACUUCCUAGUUCUGAUAAUACCCAUUUGCUUGUUAAUGUUUAAUCUUUCUUUAUAACUCUGCCUGAUUGACUUUUGAGUUCUUAACAUAUUUGAUAAGCAAGUUUACGUAUUGAUUGUGAAAGAUUGUUAAAGAAAGCAAACAAAAAGAUGGCAUUGAAGCAGAGAAAGGAGGAAUGAGAAGGGAACAAAGUACUAGAAUUCAUAGAAAAUGCGGACACUUUGUGAUGUGUGUGAGAGCGCUCCUGCCAUUAUUUUCUGUGCCGCUGAUGAGGCUUCUCUUUGCCAGGCUUGUGAUGAAAAGGUUCAUUUGUGCAACAAGCUUGCCAGUAGACAUGUACGGGUUGGGCUUGCUGAUCCCUCGAGUGUCCCGCGCUGUGACAUAUGUGAAAAUGCACCUGCUUUCUUUUACUGUGAGAUAGAUGGUAGUUCCCUUUGUCUGCAAUGCGAUAUGACUGUGCAUGUUGGUGGUAAAAGAACCCAUGCAAGAUAUCUCCUACUGAGGCAGAGAAUUGAGUUUCCAGGGGACAAACUUGGCCGUUUGGAAGAACUAGGGACGCAACCCCUUGAUCCAAAUCAAGCAAGAAGGGAGCUGAGUCAGCCACCUAAGCUGACAAUGAGAGAGAAUCAGAAAAAUUACAGGCCCGCUCCUGUUCCAGUGCUCAACAACAAUAUUGGUGGUGAUGACAAGAUUGAAAAUCAAAUGAUUGAUCUUAAUACUAGGCCCCAACGGAUACAUGGACAAGCUUCAACCAACCAGGAACAGGGUACGGAUGUUCUAAGUGGCACUAAUCAUGAAUCUGCAAGUCUGGUGCCUGGGGGAUCUUUCAAAAGACAGCCUGAAAAGUGAGCAUGAGGUAUUUAGUUGAUGGAGAUGACAUCUAGGUUUAGGCUUUGUAAUCUGGUUAGUUUUAUGUGAGUUCACUGGUGGUAUCUGCCACUGCAUUUGCAUCGAGGCCUUACAACAUCUGCUAGUGAUGAAAUGGUCAUGAUUGAUGCUGAGAACAAGAUUGUGUGAAGGGAUUGGUGAUUUCUGUUGGGGAGAAACAUCAGACAGUAAUUAAGUGAGAACAAUCUGCUGACUUCAUCUGUGCGUUGUGCUUAAUGAUGGUUGAAAAUAGGGAGGAAAACACUUCUUUAAAUUUGUAUUAUCAUGAACAUUGAUUAUUGAUCCUUUUAAUAUUUUGUGAUUGAAUGGAACAAUGAUACAUAAUAUGUCACUUUUUU